GACGAACGCUGGCGGCGUGCUUAACACAUGCAAGUCGAACGGUAAGGCCCUUCGGGGUACACGAGUGGCGAACGGGUGAGUAACACGUGGGUGAUCUGCCCUGCACUUCGGGAUAAGCCUGGGAAACUGGGUCUAAUACCGGAUAGGACCACUGCCUGCAUGGGUGGUGGUGGAAAGCUUUUGCGGUGUGGGAUGGGCCCGCGGCCUAUCAGCUGGUUGGUGGGGUGAUGGCCUACCAAGGGGACGACGGGUAGCCGGCCUGAGAGGGUGACCGGCCACACUGGGACGGAGAGACGGCCCAGACUCCUACGGGAGGCAGCAGUGGGGAAUAUUGCACAAUGGGCGCAAGCCUGAUGCAGCGACGCCGCGUGGGGGAUGACGGCCUUCGGGUUGUAAACCUCCUUCAGCACCGACGAAGCGCAAGUGACGGUAGGUGCAGAAGAAGGGCCGGCCAACUACGUGCCAGCAGCCGCCGUAACAC
rnacentral:rRNA from 1 species